rnacentral:rRNA from 1 species
UACAGAGGGUGCGAGCGUUGUUCGGAAUUAUUGGGCGUAAAGGGCGCGUAGGCGGUGCGGUAAGUCACCUGUGAAACCUCUGGGCUUAACUCAGAGCCUGCAGGCGAAACUACCGUGCUGGAGUGUGGGAGAGGUGCGUGGAAUUCCCGGUGUAGCGGUGAAAUGCGUAGAUAUCGAGAGGAACACCUGCGGCGAAGGCGGGUUGCUGGGCUGACACUGACGCUGAGGCGCGAAAGCUAGGGGAGCGAACGGA